GAUAAACGCUAGCGGCAGGCCUAACACAUGCAAGUCGAGGGGCAGCAUAGAUUGUAGCAAUACAAUUGGUGGCGACCGGCGCACGGGUGCGUAACGCGUAUGCAACCUACCCGUCACAGGGGGAUAAUCCGGAGAAAUCUGGUCUAAUACCCCAUAACAUAUGGAUCGGCAUCGGUUCAUGUUGAAAUUUUCGGAGGUGACGGAUGGGCAUGCGUAGCAUUAGCUUGUUGGUGAGGUAACGGCUCACCAAGGCGACGAUGCUUAGGGGGACUGAGAGGUUUUCCCCCCACACUGGUACUGAGACACGGACCAGACUCCUACGGGAGGCAGCAGUGAGGAAUAUUGGUCAAUGGGCGCAAGCCCGAACCAGCCAUGCCGCGUGCAGGAUGACGGCUCUAUGAGUUGUAAACUGCUUUUGUACGAGGGUAAAGUGGGUUACGUGUAACCUUUUGAAAGUAUCGUACGAAUAAGGAUCGGCUAACUCCGUGCCAGCCGCCGCGGUAA
rnacentral:rRNA from 1 species